GACGAACGCUGGCGGCGUGCUUAACACAUGCAAGUCGAACGGAAAGGCCUCAGCUUGCUGGGGUACUCGAGUGGCGAACGGGUGAGUAACACGUGGGUGAUCUGCCUUGCACUCUGGGAUAAGCUUGGGAAACUGGGUCUAAUACCGGAUAUGAACUGCCUUUAGUGUGGUGGUUGGAAAGUUUUUUCGGUGCAAGAUGAGCUCGCGGCCUAUCGGCUUGUUGGUGGGGUAAUGGCCUACCAAGGCGUCGACGGGUAGCCGGCCUGAGAGGGUGUACGGCGACAUUGGGACUGAGAGACGGCCCAGACUCCUACGGGAGGCAGCAGUGGGGAAUAUUGCACGAUGGGCGGAAGCCUGAUGCAGCGACGCCGCGUGGGGGAUGACGGCCUUAGGGUUGUAAACUCCUUUCGACAGGGACGAAGCUUUUUGUGACGGUACCUGUAUAAGAAGCACCGGCUAACUACGUG
rnacentral:rRNA from 1 species